rnacentral:rRNA from 1 species
UACGUAGGGUGCGAGCGUUAAUCGGAAUUACUGGGCGUAAAGCGUGCGCAGGCAGCUUCGCAAGUCAGACGUGAAAUCCCCGGGCUUAACCUGGGAAUGGCGUUUGAAACUACGGAGCUGGAGUAUGGCAGAGGGGGGUGGAAUUCCACGUGUAGCGGUGAAAUGCGUAGAUAUGUGGAGGAACACCGAUGGCGAAGGCAGCCCCCUGGGCCAAUACUGACGCUCAUGCACGAAAGCGUGGGGAGCAAACAGG